AUGGAUUACACGAUCGCAAGGUCUGGGAAGUCAGAGCUUUGCAUUGUUCGUCUCGUUGGCUGCAGCAUGCAGCAAUGGUCCUGUGACAUGGCUGGCCAAGACAAGAACUGGAUCUUGCGCAGUACAUACAACCUACGGCUGUUGUUCGAUUGCCAUAUUCCGGCAUCAUUUUGGGAAAGCAGGGGCCAUGGGGGUGAAUCUUCUGCUGGGGAUCCUGUUUCUUACAGCAUGAAGAUUAGAGCUGCUGGAGAGAACUUUGCAUACGCAAUAAUCACGUUUGACUUUUGCCCAUGGAUAUACAUGAUUGAUACAGACAAAAAGAAGGUUGUUAAACUCAUCAACUCGUUCAACCCGGUGUCCGUGUUGUCCGUGACCACGGUCUGCAUGCCAUGGCCCAAAACAUUCCCCCGUGAGUAG
rnacentral:rRNA from 1 species